rnacentral:rRNA from 1 species
AGCCAAGUAGCGUGAAGGAUGACUGCCCUAUGGGUUGUAAACUUCUUUUAUAAAGGAAUAAAGUCGGGUAUGGAUACCCGUUUGCAUGUACUUUAUGAAUAAGGAUCGGCUAACUCCGUGCCAGCAGCCGCGGUAAUACGGAGGAUCCGAGCGUUAUCCGGAUUUAUUGGGUUUAAAGGGAGCGUAGAUGGAUGUUUAAGUCAGUUGUGAAAGUUUGCGGCUCAACCGUAAAAUUGCAGUUGAUACUGGAUAUCUUGAGUGCAGUUGAGGCAGGCGGAAUUCGUGGUGUAGCGGUGAAAUGCUUAGAUAUCACGAAGAACUCCGAUUGCGAAGGCAGCCUGCUAAGCUGCAACUGACAUUGAGGCUCGAAAGUGUGGGUAUCAAACAGGAUUAGAUACCCUGGUAGUCCACACGGUAAACGAUGAAUACUCGCUGUUUGCGAUAUACUGCAAGCGGCCAAGCGAAAGCGUUAAGUAUUCCACCUGGGGAGUACGCCGGCAACGGUGAAACUCAAAGGAAUUGACGGGGGCCCGCACAAGCGGAGGAACAUGUGGUUUAAUUCGAUGAUACGCGAGGAACCUUACCCGGGCUUAAAUUGCAGAUGAAUUACGGUGAAAGCCGUAAGCCGCAAGGCAUCUGUGAAGGUGCUGCAUGGUUGUCGUCAGCUCGUGCCGUGAGGUGUCGGCUUAAGUGCCAUAACGAGCGCAACCCUUGUUGUCAGUUACUAACAGGUUUUGCUGAGGACUCUGACAAGACUGCCAUCGUAAGAUGUGAGGAAGGUGGGGAUGACG